UCUCUUUUUAUCUCUCGAAUCUGAAACGGGGAUUCGGGGAAGAGAGGGGAGUUGCAGAAAUCUCUCGGCAGUCAGCUUCCCUUGGAAAUUUUAGAUCGAUUUUCAUAGUUUUUUUAAUUAUCGUGGUUUAAUUCCUGUCUUUGUGCUUGUCAAAGAAUUCAGAUCAUACGCUUCUGCAUUUUUUUCUUGUCGGCAUGGCAGAGGAGAGGUAUAACCUAAAGAAUCCAGCUGUGAAGAGGAUUCUUCAGGAGGUGAAGGAGAUGCAAGCAAACCCUUCCGAUGAUUUCAUGAGCCUUCCACUCGAGGAAAAUAUAUUUGAAUGGCAAUUUGCCAUUAGGGGCCCUUGUGACACUGAAUUUGAAGGAGGAAUUUAUCAUGGACGGAUCCAACUGCCAGCCGAUUAUCCAUUCCAGCCUCCUGCAUUUAUGAUGCUCACUCCAAAUGGCCGUUUUGAAACACAAACAAAAAUUUGCUUAAGCAUAUCAAAUCAUCAUCCUGAGCAUUGGCAGCCGUCAUGGAGUGUCCGGACUGCUUUGGUAGCAUUGAUUGCAUUCAUGCCAACCAACCCAGAUGGUGCAUUAGGCUCACUGGAUUACAAGAGGGAAGAAAGACGUACAUUGGCCAUCAAAUCUCGUGAGGCAGCUCCAAGAGUCGGGACUCCAGAACGCCAAAAAGUGAUUGAUGAGAUUCACGAGUAUAUGCUAAGAAAAGCACCCCCUGUUCCCCAACUCAGCCCCCUACAGAUCUCCAAUGAACCCUCUACCAAUGAAGUAGGGGAACCUGAAGGCACUCCACAAAAUGCUGGUGUAGUUGCAGUGGGUGAAGAUCCUAAUCCAGAAGGAGAUGGCAAUCAGAGGAUGGUAGAAGACGUGCGAGAAGUCCACGUGAAUGCUAAUACUGGGCCCUUGAGAGUCAGUUUUAGUGCGGGAUUGAGGGUGUCGAGACAGGUCCCAGCUGCAGAUCCCAUCGAGCAAGCACAGGAGAGGGCAGAAGUGAGGGUGCAGAAAGCUUCCGAUGAUCGUUUGUUUACAUGGGCUGCUGUUGGGCUUACCAUAGCAAUCGUUGUUCUUUUACUCAAGAAAUUCCUAAGGUCUAGUGGAUAUGCCGCUGGUUACGUGGAUGGGUUUAAAUAGAGAGAUGUGAGGAUGUUUGAAUGAGAGGUUGCCCAACCCUUAGAGAUUGAAAGAGAAGUAGUAAUUACUUUAAAAGGGCUUUGAUACUAUGUUGAAAGGUUUAACCCAAAACAUUAAGGCAUUAGGUGGAAAGAGCUCUUCAUAUAUACGAAAGGCACCAAGGUUGUAUUUAAACUGAUAUGAGACUACACCUCUAUAACUCCCAAUUUCUAUACAUUCUUUAGUCUGUAAGCCUCAUAAUUUCCAAGAAACCUAAAGGGUUGCAAGAAUGAAAAUGUAUGAAAUGAUACCUUUUUAAGUCC